GCGCCCCCCUCCUGCCGGGGAGGUGGGAAGAGGGGCCAGGAUGGAGGAAGGCUGGAGGGCUGCUGGGACUCAGAGAAGAUAACGAAGCUGAUUGCCGCCUACCCUUUAGGCUGGGGUAACCCAGGCUCGAACUUGCCUGAAAAUCUGUCAUCAAAUGACUGCCCCAGGAAAGUAUUCAUGUGCCAGGCUCAGUGAAGGUUUUUAUGCAGCACCCUCCCUGUACAGGUAACACCCCAACUCCUCCAGGCAGCCCUCCUGGCCUGCUGGCAUUUGCACCCUACUGUUUGCCAUAGACUUGGGCAAUAGAAUGAGGCUACUGGGUUCAAAUCCAAGUCACACCUCUUUCUGUCCCCCUAUCCCCACAGCUCAGAUAACCACUGAGACCCUCACUUUCCCAAGCUGUCAAAUGAGCAUGAUUAUGAAAACUUCUAUCUUGAGACUUUCAUAAUGUCAAAAAGAGGUCAUAUAUGCAAAGUGGGUAUGAAACAGUUCGCAAUUCUGUAGCCCCAACCACCUAGCCCCUCACUGAACCCCAAACACACUCGGGUAUGCGCCCACCACCAGGCUUCCCACUGGCUGUUCCUCCCAGAUCUCCCCUCAGCAUCCUUCUCCCUUUAUUCACAUCUCUGCUCAUAGGUCACCUCAGAAGGGAGGUCCCUGGCCACUUAGCCAUCACUCCAGAACCCAUAUUGUUUAUCAUCACCUGACGUUACUUAGCUGAGCUGAGGCUCUGGAAUAAGGUUCAAAUCCUGACUUCACAAUUACUGGCUGUGUGACCUUGGACUGAGCCUCAGCUCCCUCCUUUAUAAAAUUUAAAAUGGGGAUAGCUGCUGGGAUGAAUAAGUGACUUAAUGAAUAGAAAAACCUCAGAUCAGUGCCCGCCCUACACUAGGUUAUUCCCAGAACUAAUACUGCUUGUAUUAUUUCUGGGUAGCCCGUCUGCCUCCCUCCUGCCUACUGCUAUGUCCUCAGUGUCCCAAUAGCCUGGCACAUAUUAGAUGCUUACUAAAUGUUUGAUGAAUUAGAUUUUACUAGAGCUCUGUGAGCCUCAGUUUUCUUAUUUGUAUAAUAGGAUGAUAAUAAUUGUGCCUCACAGAUGCUGACCCAUGGGAUAAAUGCUGCUGUUCUGUUUUUAGAAAUACUGUUGACUUUGAACAACACAUAUUUGAACCACAGAGGCUGGUCCAUGUAUAUGGAGAUUUUUUUCAGCAUGGGUUCCAGUUUGGGCUGGUUGAACCCAUGAUUGCAGAACCUUCCAAUAUAAUUGGCUGACUAUACAGGACUUAACAUCUACAGAUUUUUGGCAUGGUGGGUGGGAGUUACUGAAAUUGUCACACACACUCAACCCCCCAUACCAAAAGGCAACUGUAGUUAAAGUUUUAGGACAAUCAAAAUUUAUACAUGAAUUUUCACCUGCUGGAUGUCAGCGUGUUACAGGGCAACCCUAAUGUGAAAUGGGUUGGCCUGACUAUGGGCCCUCACCGCACCCUUAAAAGGGACUUAUAAUGAAACUCAACAGCAGGCACACACAAAAAGGGGUAAUAAAGGGUUUAUUUACAAAAAGGGGAAAUGAAGAAAUGAAUAACAGGGAGAAAGAGAGAGAUAAAUUGGUGAAUGUGUCCUACUGUUACAGGGCAGGGAGAGGGACACCCCAGAACCCCCAAACCUGCCCACUCUAAAUAGGUUCUGCCAUCUGCUGCAUCAAGGCAAAAUAUAUAAGACCUUUAAUGAAAAGGAACUUUAAUACAAUUAGUAAACAAUACAAAAAAGACAAAGAAUACAGUUUCUAAAUCAAGCAUCCUAAGUUACCUAUCCCUUCAUGGGUAAAAGUCCACCCAAAUGGGAUUGGCCCAGAGUAAGGCCUGAUACAAGUCUAAAGCACCUUCCCAUGGUGACCCAUAGAAAGUGGUCAGAAGCAGCCAGACAAUUCUGGGAGGAAAAGAGCAAAAGCAAAGUCAAGAUAAAAGCUGCCAUUGUCAACCUCCCCACAGGUCUCUCACCCACAUCUGUUUCAACCAGUCCAGGACCAAGAAGCAAGCGCUGUUUCUUCACGUGUCUCCCUGCUCCACAUGCCUCCACCAGGUCUCCUUCUUGCUCUCCAGCCUGCUUCCUUCCUUCUCAUUUCCUUUCCAGCUUCUUCUCCUCCUUGCUCAGCUCCAUCCCCCCUUUGGGUAGUGCAGGGAACCUGGAACCUCCCCUAUUCCUGGGUACCACCCUGUUACACUACCAGUUCUGCAGAGCUGGAACCCCAACAACACCAUUGAAGGCCAGCGAAAAAAACAAGGACCCCCAAGGCCCCAAGUGUCUGGUAUUAUACCAAACCUGGCUGCUUAACUCCACCCUUAGUUCCCAACAGCCCUCCCCUCUGUGGUGAUGACAUUAUGGGAUUUGUAGUCCUUUGUGUCUUGGAUAUCUUUGGUCUGGGGUGGGGGUGUGGUCCAUAAAACCUAUCUGUGGAGUUUGUUCAGGACAUCCUUUCCUCCCCAACAAGUGCCCCUAACACCAGUAUUACUUAAGGGUCAACUAUAAUACACAUUGGGCCUGUAGACGAUGCUUAGUACAUAGAAGUUACUUAAUAUAUUUGACCUACAUCUGGAGUCAGAGAAUGUGGGAGAACUCGUUCUCUUUCCCUACUUAUAGAGAGUUUGCUAGUUGAGCGUCAGGGUGCCUUGCUUUAUACUUUCUUCCCAGCCUGUCUUGCUUCUAGAGGAGCUGCGUGAUACUCUUCAGGCCAGUGAGACCCAAGUAGAGAUUGGCUGGGGUAUUCAGAGCAAGGUGGACCUGUUAUUAUCUGAACCUCAGUUUCUCCAUCUUUAAAAUGGGGUUAAAAACAGCAACCCACUGUGGUGAGGAUCAUAUAAGUGACCCAGAGGGAUUUAUAGGUGGCCAGGGGACCUGGAUAGUGCUGGCCCUGAUGCCAUUGAACUGCUGGUCUCCAACAGCACUAGGCUCUAAACUCUAAAUCAAUUGGUGAGGAAAAAGCAGCCUUUUUGUUCUUUUUGUUUACUGUAAUGUGGAUGUUGAUACUUGCAGCUCAAGUUAUUUCCAGAUGAUAUUAAAUUCUUCAUGUCCCUAAAUAUGCUCAGGAAAGAGUACCUGUUUACUGAUUUAUUUUUGUUUUUACUAUUUUUUUUAUUUAUGGUUAAUAGACUAUAGAUGCAGCUGGGAGACCACAACAUAAAAAAAAUGGUAGAGUGGAUGCAUUUAACUAGGCCUCUGUGCAGUUCAGGAAGAGGGAAUGAGAGACGGCCUAUAAGAGGGAGGGUAUAACUGUGUUCUCCCCAAAAGCUGUGUUGAAGUCCUAACCCCCAAAAUCUCAAAACAUGACCUUAUUUGGAAAUAGUGAUGUUGUAGCUGUAGUUAAUUAAAAUAGGUCCUGUUGGAAUAGGCAGAGAUUUAAUCCAAUAUGACUGGGUUACAGAUUUAGUCUAAGAAAAGAGACACAGAUGCAUGCUGAAGAGAAAAGGCCAUGUGACGAUGGAGGGAAAGAUCAGAGGACGCGUCUAUUAGCCAAGGACACGAAAGACUGUUGAAGGCCAGCAGAAGCUGGAAGAGGCAAGGAAGGACCCUAGGGACUUCACAGGGAGCUGUGUGGCCACCUUAAUACAGCCCUCCUCCAGAAUGUGAGGAAGGAGGCAUGGUGCUGGCCUUCAAGCAAACAGACAAGUCACCUGGUAUCUCUGCAAGAUGUUCCAGAAGCUUCUAUGAGGUGACAGGAAUAUUGUGCGCAUGCUCAUCUCUCUCUCUCUCUCACACACACACACACACACACACACACACACACAGAAUGAGCUUUCCCCACCCCCACCUGCCCUGUUCCCAAUUUCUCCACAGAAUAUUUUUUUCCCUCGGGCAGAAAAUGGACCAUUAUUAAAACAACACGGAGACCCAGCGAGGAAAACCCAUUUGCAGCGAUUUAUACCGCGUCACCACUGCUGCCGGCUACCGAGAGGAAAUGGGGGGAGAAGCGCGGGGUUUAAGCACGGGGUGAAGAAUCUCAUUGCAUCACAGAAGAACAGAUGGGUGUGUGUUUUUCUCUCCUCUUACCCCGGCCCCAUCCCAUUCAGAAUGCAUGUCGGUGUGGGUUUGUUCUCCGUGGUGUGGUAGGGGCGACUCUGGGGAGAAUGAGGCCACACCUGGCUGGGUCCCAGGAGAGGAAGGCAGCUUGGGAUCCACCCAGGAUCCCCUCUGCCACUGCCCACUUGGGCUGGAGGGUCUUCCUCCAUUCAUCCUCUUUUAAUUUUUAUACAUUCUUAUCACCACCUGGAAUUAUCCAGCCUCAUUCAUUGUCAACUUCCUUGAAGGCACUCUGAGUUUCCACUGGGGAAAACAGCAGUUGCUCAAAUAUCCUGACAAGGGCUAAUCCACUGUGACCCCACACAUCCUCCCCUGAAGUUGGUACUGAUACAUCGGCCCUCCCCACCAGGCAGAGAACUCACACAAAGAAAGGGGCUGUUUCAUUUCUCUCUCUCUUUUAUGGAUGCCCAGACCUUCCACCCCACUAAACUAAGUCUGAUCCACAGCCAGUUUUGGCGGGAGGGAGAACAUGACUGCAUCAUUUUGCUGUUUAAAUGCCAUGAGUAAUUUCUCUCCUUCAAAGUUAAAAUCUGUUAGCAUGGCUCCAGUGGAUCUUCCCAAUUCAGACACAAACACCCCACCCCCACCCCACACCUGUGCAGCCCCAGAUCCCUUGCAGUCAGACCCACUCCCUGGCUCAUUUGUGGUACCCUCCUCACCCAAGAUGCCUUGGGCAGCAGCUUUUGGGAAAACCUAGAUUCCCUUUCCCUCUGUGUACACCUCUUGUGCCUUGGGGCCAGACACCCAUGGUCAAAUGCAGCCCAGGAUAUGAUCUGUUUGGCCCAUGCAGGGUUUUUUAAAAAUUGCAAUGAGUUGACAGCUUUUAAAUAUCAGGCAAGUGUUGCAUAAAAAUCUGGAUUCCUGGCUUCCUAUCAAAAAACACAGCUUCUAAGAAGCUGAGGUCAUGCUUCCUGCAGGGCCAGUGCUCAUCUAGGACUGCCCCCACCCUAGGAGAGGGCCCAGCUUUCCCAUUUCUCAUGUGGUGGGUGGUUAAAGGGACUCUGAGCCAGACUGCCAAACUUAGAAUCACUCAACCUUCCUGUUCUGGAAUCUUCUGCUUGUCCUCCUGGAGGGAUUCUUCUUGCUUCUGGUACUCAGGAAGCUGUGCUUUGUGGACCCCACCAAUAGGCUCUGGGUACUACAGCUCAGGUUGUAGUCUAUCAAUGAAAUUCCUGUGGAGGGAGAGGUGGGGGUAUUUACUCCCUAGCUCUGCCCUCACCCUGUGGUCCCUGUAGGCCAUCUAUGUCUUUGCAGAGGCCGCAAGUCCUCACCACACAGCGGGCAGUGUCUCCAGGGUCUGACAAUGGCUUCUCCCCUGUCCCCAGAUGUAGGAGUGCUAAGGGCUCCCCAUUUUUAUUAAUCCAAGUCUGGCAUUUUUCCUGGGGUUCCCUACAUCUGUCCACACUGUGUAAAUUUGUCCCUUUGAUGAACUCUGUUCAAAUUACUUAAUUUGAAUGUAAUUUGACUGAUACUGCCCCUCCACCUGUUAAUCCACUUGGAAAAUGGAGGUAACUGUAGCUGCCUCUGGAGUUGAUUUGAGGUUGAAAAGAGUUGACAGUGCACAAGGAAAGGGCUUAGCAUGUGCUAAUGAAUGUUCACAAUUACUAUUACAGUUGACCUUCAAAUAACAAGGAGAUUAGGGGCACCCACCCCUGUGUAGUUGAAAAUCUUCAUGUAACUUCUGCCUCCUCAAAAACUUUAUAGCGAUCCCUUGGUUUCCUUGGGGGAUUGGUUUCAGUAGCCCAGAAACUAAAAAUCUCUGGAUGCUUAAGAGCCUUAUGUUGGAGCCUCCCUGGUGGUGCAAGGGGUUAAGCACAGCACUGUGAAGCUAUCCAUAGCCUCUGCCCUGUAAGUUCCAGUCCCAGCCGGCCAGGGAGCUACCCACAUGGCGCAGCAGACCUCUCCUGUCUCUCCUGCUGCUCCCCUCAGCAGGGUAUUUUCAUCAGUCUGCUUGUUCUGUUCCCUGCUCUGUCUCUGGUGAAUCCUCCUACCACAACCCCCCCCCCAACCCCCACACUUCUGGCCUCUACCCCAAUUCUCAUAUGCAUAAAUAAAUCUUUAAAAAAAAAAAAAGAG